GGACAACAUGCCGACAGAAAUGUAUAUACAUCAAAGCUUUACUACUAAAUACCAUACUCCGAAGUAUUGAAGGUCGGGAUAUUACAGUAUGGGAUCUUGUGUUAGCUCCGGAAUACCAGUCCAUCCAGUGGAUGGCGAUUUUUCCACAGCAUCAGUUUCGACUCGAAAUGUCAUCCUGUCAUCGCUGAGAAACAGCCCCGGGAAUCAGGCCCGGGAGCCUUGUAACAGUGGACGAAGUGCAGUUGAUCGAUAGUACAUCAUUGAAAAUGAAUGGUCUUAACAUAGGAACACGGCAGACACAAGGUUCUAGCACACGGCGGGAAGCUACAUGUAGUGCUAUAGAUCUUCACAAAAGCGAUCGAACCAGAGCCCGCGUGAGGCACAAGCGGUUCUAAGGCCAUUAAGGUAGCUUUGUCGGCGACGAGAGACUAGUCUUGAACUACAAAUGAUUUUACAGUAUAGUAUAAACAGAACCUUCAGUUGAGUGUGUUAUUAUCAGUAAUUAUCCCGCACGUGUCCUCGUUCGGCGACCGUGCUAGCUGAUCGAAUCUAGGCAGGAGUUUACUGCUAAAGUCAGGAAUAUAUAAAAGAACGGAUACCCUUGUGUAAAUACUAUGUAUGUUAUAAGUAAUGCUAUCAUCUAUUUAUAGCUAGAUCUUAAAAGCACAUAUCCGUAAAUACAUGAUUCUAUCAGUCAUCUACCGCAGAGAUUCCACGAGAUACUACGCAUGCGCAUAGCUGGUCAUUCUACGUUCGCGUUCCGCCAUUUUGUAGCGUGACUGGUCAAGCGAGGAAAAAAUCCAACAAAAUCAGCGUCAUCCGACGCGUUCAACGGAAAUACUUUCUGUUUCAUCGGAACACAUCCUAAAAGGAUGACGCCUCCAAUGAUGGGUGAGGUGCCAGUUUAGGAAACACCACAACAGGAGGAAGAUGGUCUGAAACAGAGAAAGGCCAGCACAUUAACUAUUUAGAACUAAAGGCGAUAGCAUUUGGACUAAUGGCCCUCUGUAAAGAAUCUAAUUCCACAAGUGCUACAGAAGUUGGAGUCCGACCAAGCACAAAUGAUCUUAAUAGUCCCAAACUGGUCAACACAGCCAUGGUACCCAUAGUUAUCUCGCCUUCUAGUUCAGAAACCUAUUCUCCUCCCAGAGAAGAAGAGCAAUGUCUACCUCCCAUUCGAUCAGGGGAAAUGUCAUCCACUGGGGAAAAGAUUGAGACUGAUUGCUUGUGCCUUAUCAGGAGAUCCCUACAAAGUAAAGGUUGGUUCGCACCCACUUGUACAACGAUUCAUCAAAGGCGUAUUUCAGGAGAGGCCCUCCUUACCUAGGUAUUCUACUACCUGGGACACGUCAACAGUUCUCACAUAUCUUUGGAACUUUACCCUUUGGAGGAACUCACCCUACAACAGUUGACUCACAAACUCGUCAUGCUAUGUGGAUUAGUGACGGGACAACGUUGUCAAUCGUUACAUUUAAUGAAUCUAACAAGCAUGUACCAAGGGUGUGACUCAUCAUAUGAAUUCUAUAUUGGGGACCUCGAUAAGCAAUCUGCUCCAGGAAAAGAACAACCUGUCCUUAAACUACCUCGAUUUACAUCAGAUCACGGGCUGUGUGUAGCUUCAGUGCUAGAUGAAUACAUCAAACGCACUGCAACACUUCGAGGGAACGAGUGUCAUAGGAAAGUUUUCAAAGAGUCUAUUUCAAGGUGGAUUAAAGUAGUGAUGAACACAGCAGGCAUAGACACCUCUAUAUUCAAGCCACACAGUGUACGUGCAGCAUCUACCAGCAAGGCCAAGAGUUGUGACAUUCCCAUGACUUAUAUCAUGAAAGCAGCCUGUUGGAGCUCAGACUGUACCUUUACCAGGUUUUAUCAUAAGCCUAUAACCGAAGCUGAGAGCUUUGGACAUGCUAUCCUUUCAAAUGUUAAGUGAUCAGCAACUGUUCUACAACAGUUCUGUACUUAUAGUAUGGCAUCGGUAAUGCCAAUCAACUGUUAUAUUAAUUUUCGUUUCCACCUAUGUUUAAGGUGACAUGUAACCACUUAUGUUAGUUGUUAUAGAGGUUACUAAAAAUACACUUGUGUUUUUAUUACUUGUG